rnacentral:ncRNA from 1 species
CCCUGACAGUCGCAUAGGGCGACUGACUAACCCAAGACAGGAGAUCAACAUG